CCCUUAGAUGUUCUGGGCCGCACACGCGCUACACUGGCAGGUUCAUCGAGCUUCAUGCCCUGAUCUGAGAAGAACGGGAAAUCUUUGAACACUUGCCGUGCUUGGGAUAGAUGUUUGCAAUUAUUCAUCUUCAACGAGGAUUGCCUUGUAAGCGCACGUCAUCAGCGUGCAUUGAAUACGACCCUGUAUUCUGUACACACCGCCCGUCGCUCCUACCGAUUGAAGUUUUCGGUGAAUUUACUGGAGAUCCCUUUUGAAGGUGGUUCGCCACUGGAAGAAGUAUUCAAAAGUAAAUGAAUCGAAUGCUUUAGAGGAAGGAGAAGUCGUAACA
rnacentral:rRNA from 1 species